rnacentral:ncRNA from 2 species
UCAUCGUGUCGCGACUGGCGUUGAGGUGGACCACCACCGGGGAGCGACCACUUGGCAAUCGACCGUUCGCCUGGGUCGGGUAG